GGAGGACUAUGGUGAUCGACAUUAACGUGGCUUGUGACCUUUCUAUGCUUGAGCCCGAGGAACCUGUUGUUAUAGAACAAAUUUCUACUAAGAAAGUGACGGAGACAAAAGCUAUGAACAUCAGGAAUCACUUUGAUUUGAACUCAUGUAUUACCGAGGAUGAAGAAGAACCAGUUUCUGCUGUAACCGGCAAGGCCAGUGCGAAAACUAUUCUGGAUAUAGAUCUCGAAGCCCCUGUACUUUUGGACAUUGAACAAGAUGAUUUGCCUGGAGAAGACAAUGGGAAGAAACA
rnacentral:misc_RNA from 1 species